rnacentral:rRNA from 1 species
UACGAAGGGGGCUAGCAUUGUUCGGAUUUACUGGGCGUAAAGCGCACGUAGGCGGAUCGUUAAGUGAGGGGUGAAAUCCCAGGGCUCAACCCUGGAACUGCCUUUCAUACUGGCGAUCUUGAGUCCGGAAGAGGUGAGUGGAACUCCUAGUGUAGAGGUGGAAUUCGUAGAUAUUAGGAAGAACACCAGUGGCGAAGGCGGCUCACUGGUCCGGUACUGACGCUGAGGUGCGAAAGCGUGGGGAGCAAACAGGG